AUGUGCAACACCAACAUUUGUGAGAAUCUCCUAAAGGUGAACUCCUUCCCUUUGAGCCAUCCUCAAUUACGCAUAUUGGAUGGGUCACUCUUUCAUUGUUGUCUCCUUCUUGUUGUCUACAUGAUACAUCUCGUGAACGGAGGAGCGACAUGGGAGAUUGGCUCUAUGGACCUUCAAGUUGAGGAUUGCUCGGACUUAGUGGAUUCACCAUCGAACCACCACUUCUACCACAACACCACCCAUAACAAAUUUGCAUCUUAUGCAUGGAUUGACUCACAUUAUGAUUGCCUUGUUGCAUCUAUUUCCAUGUCAUCCAUGAUACAUGAGCUUGUGCAUUUCCUUAGCAAAUUUAUUGUGAUCGUUCUUGACGGCAUAUUCAUACAUCAUGAUCAUAUUGCCCACCAUCAAUUGCAUGAUCACAUAGUCACAUUGAGCACCAAUUACCAUGUUCAUGCUUUUGAUACACCGUCUCUCUAUGACAUCAUUUUGCACCGUGGUUGCAUUGAUCAUAUUCACAACACAUCUGUGUGCACAUUGAUUGCAUUUUCUCCCAUGAAUGCUUUGCAUAUCAUUCUAGAUCAUCUUGAUAAGCUUCAUGUGCUUUGCCACGAACAAUCUUGUUGCACAGACUCAUUCUUACAUGAUGGACACUUUGUGUGCUCCAACCAUUGUAUUUCCGAGUGUCGUUUGUGUUAUCUCUUUUUGCAUGUAUACCACUCCGGCGACACCUUGGAGUACUUGGAUUGCACAACGUCUUCCACUCCAUCCAACUACAAGUCCGUCCACGACAACCGUUUCCAUGGUGAUGAGGUUUUCGAUCCGAUGUCGGAUCUUUCCCAAGGGAGGGGAGAUGAUGCGGAGCAUCCUACGAUCAUCCCCCUAUACACUUCGAAUACUCCCCAAGCCCCAAGAGGACAUACGAUGAGACCUCGACCAUACGCCAUUGGACACAAGGUGAAGUCACUCCUCUUCGAACCAUCACUUUCCACAUAUGAGACAUGGCUACUACCUCAUGCAUGGACCUUGCAUAUACUCAGGUACAACCGAGACGACCAUGGAGGAUCCAAGGACCAAGGCCAAGCAUGGAAGAGGAGAAGGAAGAAGAAGCAAGGACAAGCUUCUGGAAAGCCCGGAACUUCCGCCCUCUGCCCGGAACUUCUGGCCCCCGGACCUUCUGACCUUCCCGGAACCUCCGGCCUCGGAGUCCAGACCAGCCCCGAGCGCGCCAACUCUCUGGAUAGCCCGGAACCCAGCCGGAUCCUAUCGGGAACUUCCGGAGCCCGGAACUUCCGGCCCCACCGGGAACUUACGUCCUGCCUGCAUGCAAAGAAUCAGGCCGAAGCCCAUGUAUCCCUUUCCCACUUACCCCUUCGUGGCUUAGACUAUAUAUACUUCUCCAUCUUCACCAGUUUAGGGUUAGCGUUGUGA
rnacentral:rRNA from 1 species